GAGGGACAGAUUUGUACCUCAACACUACUAUAGAGAAGCAUCAAAGAUUGCAUGGGUUGGUGCAAGGAAAUAGGAGUGUGGAAGAGUACUUUUAAGAAAUGGAAAUGGCUAUGUUGAGAGCCAAUAUUGAGGAGGAUAGGGAAGCCGCUAUGGCUCAGUUCUUGAAGGGAUUGAAUGUGGAUAUUGCUAACAUAAUGCAAUUGCAACACUGUGUUGAGUUGGAUGACAUGCUAAACAUGGCUAUAAAGAUUGAGAAACAAUUAAAGAAGAAGAAAGCAAUGAAGUUUGGAGUGAGGAUGAAUGCGGCAACCACUUCUCCAUGGAAGCCGAAUUGGAGUAAGGGAGUUACCAAAGAUGAAAAGAUGGUUUCUAAGAAAAAGAAAGUGGAGAUUAAGGUGAGUGAAAAGCCACAAGUUAUUGACAAGGUAAGGGGCCUAAACUUCUAUUGGGAGAACUAGAGACAUCAAGUGCUUUAGGUAUUUAGUAAAUGGCUAUUAUGCAUUACAAUGCCCUAACAAAAGGAUCAUGAUAAUGAGGCCGAAUGGGGACAUUGCGCUCGAAGAUGAUGAAGUAGAUGAUGAUGAUGUGAGUGAGAGUAUGCCACACUUAAAGGAGAUAGUGAUGUAAAGCAUGCCAUGGGUGGCAAUGUGCUUGUGGUGAGACGUGCUUUGAAUGUACAAGUGAAAGAGGAUGGAGGUGAUGAACUCCAAAGGGAGAACAUCUUUCAUACUAGGUGCUUGGUGAAUGAGAAAACUUAUAGUGUGAUUAUAGAUAGUGGGAAGAUUGCGUACCAUUCAUUUAGUUUGCAUACAAUAGAGCUGUGCAUUUUUCUAUUAGCUUUUCUCCUUUUGAGAUUGUUUAUGGUUUUAAUCCAUUCACUCCUUUGGACUUGCUACCUUUGCCUACUAAUGAGCUUGUUAGUUUAGAUGGGAAAAAGAAAGCAGAAUUGGUGAAGAAGAUUCAUGAGCAAGCACGGCAAAGACUUGAAAGAGUGAAUGGAGAAGAGAAAACCACAUUCAACAAAGGGUGAAAACAUGUAGUCUUUCAACUCGGGGACCUUGUUUGGGUGCAUCUUAGGGAAGAAAGAUUUUUUACCAAAAGGAAAUCCAAGCUUCAACCAAGGAGUGAUGGACCCUUUAAAGUGGUUGAGAGGAUCAAUGACAAUGCACACUGAAUUGAUCUUCCAGGCGAGUAUAAUGUGAGUGUCACUUUUAAUGUUACUGAGCUUUCUCCUUUCUAUGCAGAUGAUGACAAUUCAAGGAUGAAUUCUUUCAAAGAGGAAGAGGAAGAUGAGGAGCCAAUUGCACCAUUAUUGCACCAAGGUCCAAUUACAAGGUCCAUGGCAAAAAAGCUUCAAGGCAUGGUGUCCAAACACAUUAACAAGCUCAACAUGAUGGAAAAAUUUGGUUCAAAAGAGGAAGCACCGAAGAACACCAAUUUCAUGGAGCUUGGUAUGUUAGCCGAACCAUUGGUGCACCACGGAGAGGAAUCAGUUCAAUCACUUGGGACCAAGGUCUCAGUUGCCCAUACCAUUUCACACUCCGCAUGCUCCAAAUGUGUGUCUUAAUCUGUACCCAUUGCUACCCAAUUGCUGGAGAAAAGUUUGUCCAUCUACAUGCCAAAUAAGAAAAAAGCAUCAACUCCAUUUUUUGGAUACACCAACAGCCUAAUCUAACACCUAUUUUGUAUACUUUACAAGGCUGAAUUAUGUUAUAUUUGAUUGUACCCAUACUAUUUAUGUUUGGACUCAUUUUCCAUUUUUGAUUAAGAAAAAUGUAAUAUCCAAGCAUGAGAAAACACAUUGGUUACUACCAUACUUGUUGGACUAUCUUUUUUAAAAUGAGAUUUCUCCUUCAUUCUGAACAGAUUUUGAAGAUCAUAAUAGAAUUUUCUCUCAUUGGAG
rnacentral:misc_RNA from 1 species